AUAUUAAGGGAGGUGUGUGCAGUUUUGUGUUUAUCCGAGGCGUGGUUAUUGCUAGUUGAAAACUAUUCCCAAUACCCCGUGCAGACGCCCUUAACUGGGCGGCUAGCACAAUUUUUAAUUGCCUCUACGGGGG